CCUACGGGAGGCAGCAGUGGGGAAUAUUGCACAAUGGGGGCAACCCUGAUGCAGCGACGCCGCGUGAGGGAAGAAGUAAUUCGUUACGUAAAGCUCUAUCAGCAGGGAAGAAACACUGACCUUACGGUCAGCAGAAGGUACCUGAGUAAUAAGCCCCGGCUAACUACGUGCCAGCAGCCGCGGUAAUACGUAGGGGACAAGCGUUAUCCGGAUUUACUGGGUGUAAAGGGCGCGUAGGCGGGUCGGCAAGUCUGGAGUGAAAUGCCGGAGCUUAACUGCGGAACUGCUUUGGAAACUGGCGAACUAGAGUGCGGGAGGGGUAAGCGGAAUGCCGAGUGUAGCGGUGAAAUGCGUAGAUAUUAGGAGGAACACCGGUGGCGAAGGCGGCCUACUGGACCGUAACUGACGCUGAGGCGCGAAAGCGUGGGGAGCAAACAGGAUUAGAUACCCCGGUAGUC
rnacentral:rRNA from 1 species